rnacentral:ncRNA from 1 species
AUAACAUCAAUGAACAAGAGAGUAGAUGAGAUACUUUCAUAAAUGCCUAUGGCAAUCAGCGAGCCGAUACAGAGUGGAAGAUCGGCAUGAAAAACUCAUUGAACCGCACUUGGAAGAUGCUGUUUUGAAUCGUACUGUCUGGGACAAGUAAGGUCUGGGCAGGAGAAGGAGAAACAGCCGUCAUACAGCGUUAAUGUACUGAGGUGGCAGACACCCGUUAGUAAAUAUUUGUCUGCAAGUAGAGUGGUACCGCGAUUUAAAUCGUCUCUGUG